rnacentral:rRNA from 1 species
AGAGUUUUGUCCCUGGUUCCGGACGAACGCUGGGGGCCAUCCCUAAUCCAUCCAAGUCAAACGCUGAAGCAUUUUGCUUGCAGAAGUGCGGAUGAGUGGCGAACGGGUGAGUAACACGUGGGGAAUCUGCCUAGGAGUGGGGGAUAACAUUCGGAAACGGAUGCUAAUACCGCAUAUCUUCUUAGACCGCAUGGUCUAUGAAUGAAAGACGGCUUUGCUGUCGCUCUUAGAUGAUCCCGCGGCGUAUUAGUUAGUUGGUGGGGUAAAGGCCUACCAAGACAAUGAUACGUAGCCGACCUGAGAGGGUGAUCGGCCACACUGGGACUGAGACACGGCCCAGACUCCUACGGGAGGCAGCAGUAGGGAAUCUUCCACAAUGGGUGCAAACCUGAUGGAGCAAUGCCGCGUGAAUGAAGAAGGUCUUCGGAUCGUAAAGUUCUGUUAUUAGUGAAGAACAAAUCGAGGAGUAACUGUCUCGAUUUUGACGGUAACUAACCAGAAAGUCACGGCUAACUACGUGCCAGCGGCCGCGGUAAUACGUAGGUGACAAGCGUUGUCCGGAAUUAUUGGGCGUAAAGGGAGCGCAGGCGGUUGGAAUAGUCUGAUGUGAAAGCCCACGGCUUAACCGUGGAAGGUCAUUGGAAACUGUCCAACUUGAAUGCAGAAGAGGUAAGUGGAAUUCCAUGUGUAGCGGUGAAAUGCGUAGAUAUAUGGAGGAACACCAGUGGCGAAGGCGACUUACUGGUCUGUGAUUGACGCUGAGGCUCGAAAGCGUGGGUAGCGAACAGGAUUAGAUACCCUGGUAGUCCACGCCGUAAACGAUGAGUGCUAAGUGUUGGAGGGUUUCCGCCCUUCAGUGCUGGAGUUAACGCAU